UACAGAGGUCUCAAGCGUUGUUCGGAUUCAUUGGGCGUAAAGGGUGCGUAGGCGGCGCGGUAAGUCGGGUGUGAAAUCUUCGGGACUUAACUCCGAAACUGCAUUCGAUACUGCCGUGCUUGAGGACUGGAGAGGAGACUGGAAUUUACGGUGUAGCGGUGAAAUGCGUAGAUAUCGUAAGGAAGACCAGUGGCGAAGGCGGGUCUCUGGACAGUUCCUGACGCUGAGGCACGAAGGCCAGGGGAGCAAACGG
rnacentral:rRNA from 1 species